rnacentral:rRNA from 1 species
AACGAACGCUGGCGGCGUGCUUAACACAUGCAAGUCGAACGUGAAAGUGGCUUCGGCCAUGAGUAAAGUGGCAGACGGGUGAGUAACACGUGGGUAACCUGCCCCUUGGCGGGGGAUAACCAUUCGAAAGGAUGGCUAAUACCGCAUAAGACCACGUCCUUAUGGGAUGGGGUAAAAGACGAAAGUCACCGAGGGAGGGGCCCGCGGCCGAUUAGCUAGUUGGUGAGGUAAUGGCUCACCAAGGCGACGAUCGGUAGCUGGUCUGAGAGGAUGAUCAGCCACACUGGUACUUAGACACGGACCAGACUCCUACGGGAGGCAGUAGUGGGGAAUAUUGCGCAAUGGACGAAAGUCUGACGCAGCAACGCCGCGUGGGUGAAGAAGGCCUUCGGGUCGUAAAGCCCUGUCAGGUGGGAAGAAACCUGCGUAAGCAGCUGACGGUACCACCAAAGGAAGCACCGGCUAACUCCGUGCCAGCCGCCGCCGUAAUAC